GACAGAGAAAGGAACUUUUAGCCACAUGCCCGUUAAACUCCUAUUGAAGCCUUAAAGCCCAUUGUAAAAGGCGCCUUAAAUGUCAUGUUUAGAACCCAGAAGGUGACCAAGAUGGCCAAACUGUCACCUAGGGACCACACACAGCUUCCAGCAGAAAUUCUUUUCAACUUCCCUCCCAUGGAUAAGUUUCUAGAAGCAGACCCGCUGAAGAAGAUUAACUCGCUUUAGGUUGCUGGGCUGUUUCCCAGCCAAACACGAACGCCUCUUGCUGGGCUGAGCUGCUCACCGACAGAGAGCCCACUACACACCUACGCUGCAUGGUAUGGCCCAUCGCUCCCAGGCUACAAACAUGCACAGCAGGUCGCUGUGCUGAAGACUGCAGGCAAUCAUCACGCCACGGCAAACUUCAAACUGCACGUUGGAAAUGGCGAGACUGCCACGCACAAUUGCACCUGUGUGUCACUGUGUGCAUGUGCACACACGUUUUAAAGGGGUGAUUCAAGGGAAGGGGUGGAAAGAACCACCAUAGUAGGCACGGAGCAUGUGGCUAUCAAUGUGCUGGGUUGCUUUACGUGUGUGUAUUUAAGUCUCAUACAAUCUUGGAAGGUAGGUUUUACAGAUCUUGUUUUUGAGGCUAGAAACACUAGGUGCGGAGAAGUUGGUAAUCUGCCCAAGGACAGGCCCACUCCUAAC